GUAAAGAAACCAACAGGGAUUGCCCUAGUAACGGCGAGUGAAGCGGCAACAGCUCAAAUUUGAAAUCUGGCUUCGGCCCGAGUUGUAAUUUGCAGAGGAUGUUUUUGGCGCGGUGCCUUCCGAGUUCCCUGGAACGGGACGCCACAGAGGGUGAGAGCCCCGUAUGGUUGAACACCAAGCCUGUGUAAAACUCCUUCGACGAGUCGAGUAGUUUGGGAAUGCUGCUCUAAAUGGGAGGUAAAUCUCUUCUAAAGCUAAAUACCGGCCAGAGACCGAUAGCGCACAAGUAGAGUGAUCGAAAGAUGAAAAGCACCUUGAAAAGGGGGUUAAACAGUACGUGAAAUUGUUGAAAGGGAAGCGCUCAUGACCAGACUUGUGCCGUGCGGCUCAUCCGGGGUUCUCCCCGGUGCACUCCGCACGGCUCAGGCCAGCAUCGGUUCUCGUUGGGGGAUAAGAACAGUAGGAACGUGGCCCCCCUCGGGGGGUGUUAUAGCCUAUUGUACGAUACCCUGGCGGGGACCGAGGACCGCGCUUCGGCAAGGAUGCUGGCGUAAUGGUCAUCAGCGACCCGUCUU
rnacentral:rRNA from 1 species